CCCUUAGAUGUUCUGGGCCGCACGCGUGCUACACUGAGUAAUUCAAUGGGUAAGGGAACGCUAGAGCAUUACCUAAUCUUGAAAUUUGCUCGUGAUGGGGAUCGACGGUUGCAAUUUUCCGUCGUGAACGAGGAAUACCUUGUAGGCGCAUGUCAUCAUCAUGCGCCGAAUACGUCCCUGCCCUUUGUACACACCGCCCGUCGCUCCUACCGAUUGAGUGAUCCGGUGAGGCUCUGGGACCUGGACGGAAAGAGCGUUUCGCUUGUUCUGUUUGGGAAACUUGGUCGAACCUUAUCAUGUAGAGGAAGGAGAAGUCGUAACA
rnacentral:rRNA from 1 species